rnacentral:rRNA from 1 species
UACGUAGGGGGCAAGCGUUGUCCGGAUUUAUUGGGCGUAAAGAGCGUGUAGGCGGUUUGGUAGGUCCGUUGUGAAAACUCGAGGCUCAACCUCGAGACGCCGAUGGAAACCAUCAGACUAGAGUCCGGAAGAGGAGAGUGGAAUUCCUGGCGUAGCGGUGAAAUGCGCAGAUAUCAGGAAGAACACCCGUGGCUAAGGCGGCUCUCUAGUACGGUACUGACGCUGAGACGCGAAAGCGUGGGGAGCGAACAGG